rnacentral:lncRNA from 1 species
GUAGUGGAUAUAGAUCUGACCAGAGCUCCCACUUGCACUAAUUGAUCAUUAUCGGAUAGUCUACUUGUGCUGAAGCUCCUAGUUGGCGUUGACUUUUGUGGUCGAGAAAGGCCUGUUGUAGGUACUGGAGAAAUUGUUGACUCCUUUCACGUAUAGAUCUAGGGCUUUGGAUAUAAAUCUUACGGGUGUUUUCAUGAUCGUACCUAUGGUAACUGGCUUUUUGUGACACAUUUUUUGACUCCUCAUGAUCUUGCUCCUGAUUUAAGUUUUUUUUCGAGGAAUGUUUGAAUGAGAAGAAGGAAGCGAUACACAGUUAUAUAUAGGGAGCAAGUACUCGUUUUUUUAAUCCUAUUCACGUGGACAAUUUUGACUAUUCCGAUGUACGAGAACACAUAG